GCCAACAUAGUUUAAACAAAACACUAAGUUGUGGGCUUAGUAAUAAGGAGCUAAGACCCUUUGUGGGCC
rnacentral:tRNA from 1 species